GACGAACGCUGGCGGCGUGCUUAACACAUGCAAGUCGAACGGAAAGGCCCUGCUUUUGUUGGGUGCUCGAGUGGCGAACGGGUGAGUAACACGUGUGUAACCUGCCCUUGACUUUGGGAUAACUUCAGGAAACUGGGGCUCAUACCGGAUAGGAGCUCCUGCUGCAUGGUGGGGGUUGGAAAGUUUCGGCGGUUGGGGAUGGACUCGCGGCUUAUCAGCUUGUUUGUUGGGUAGUGGCUUACCAAGGCUUUGACGGGUAGCCGGCCUGUGAGGGUGACCGGGGACAUUGGGACGGAGAUACGGACCAGACUGCAACGGGAGGCAGCAGUGGGGAAUAUUGCACAAUGGGAGGAAGUCUGAUGCAGCAACGCCGCGUGCGGGAUGACGGCCUUCGGGUUGUAAACAGAUUUGGCAUGUGACGAAGAGUGAGUGACGGUAAUGGGUAAAGAAGCACCGGCUAACUACGUG
rnacentral:rRNA from 1 species